rnacentral:lncRNA from 1 species
GCUUCGGGCCCUUAAGAAUUUGAGUCCGCCACUGACCGAAGAAUUUCGUAGGGAUAUCCAGGCAGAAUACAGAAAAUCCGCCGAGCUGAACAAUAAGAUCGUCCAUAUGUAUGCGAAAGGAUAUGAAAUCUGCCGAAGUAAAGGCAAGAAAAAGCUCGGGCCAAGGUAGAUCCAUCUCUUCUAGACUCUUUAGAUGGUGA